AACGAACGCUGGCGGCAUGCCUAACACAUGCAAGUCGAACGAGAUCUUCGGGUCUAGUGGCGCACGGGUGCGUAACGCGUGGGAAUCUGCCCUUUAAUUCGGAAUCACAGUUGGAAACGACUGCUAAUACCGGAUGAUGACGAAAGUCCAAAGAUUUAUCGCCAGAGGAUGAGCCCGCGUAGGAUUAGCUAGUUGGUGUGGUAAAGGCGCACCAAGGCGACGAUCCUUAGCUGGUCUGAGAGGAUGAUCAGCCACACUGGGACUGAGACACGGCCCAGACUCCUACGGGAGGCAGCAGUGGGGAAUAUUGGACAAUGGGCGAAAGCCUGAUCCAGCAAUGCCGCGUGAGUGAUGAAGGCCUUAGGGUUGUAAAGCUCUUUUACCCGGGAUGAUAAUGACAGUACCGGGAGAAUAAGCUCCGGCUAACUCCGUGCCAGCCGCCGCGGUAA
rnacentral:rRNA from 1 species